rnacentral:misc_RNA from 1 species
AGUGCCGAGUCAGCCCGCCCGAUGCCAGGGGGCCUGUGCGUCGCAGCACAGCGAUCAGUCGUCUGGCAGCAGCGCAACCGGCGACCGACACUGCCGCAACCGGCGACCGACACUGCCGCACCCGGCGACCGACACUGCCGCAACCGGCGACAGCCAGCCGAUGAGACGUCUCGUCAUGGCCCAGCUGCUGGUGCCCAUCAGCCUGCUCCUGGCGCCUCAGUUGGUGUGGUGUGACGAGUUCAGCUCUGCGCACCUGCCGGCGGAGCACAGGGGUGGAGGCGGCCCGCUGCUGGACGGCGGCCGCCAGCUCGGCCCCAACUAUGGACCGCCGCCGCCGCCACAGCAGGGCUACAGCGGUCCGGCCACCGGCGACGCCGACCCGUGGCUGCUACCCGCACCCGACAUGCCGAAAAUUAAAAACAUCGAGGUCCAGUGUGAAAAGGCGAGCAUGCGUGUCAACGUCGACUUUGACCGUCCGUUCUACGGCAUGAUCUUUAGCAAGGGCCACUACUCGGACGGCAACUGCGUGCACAUGCAGCCCGGCUCGGGUGCGCUCAACGCCCAGUUCGAGAUCUACCUGAACUCGUGUGGCAUGGCCGCCUCGGAGAGCGGCAGCUACGGCCAGCCCAACCCUGCUGGCAGCUUCGUAGAGAACACCAUCAUCAUCCAGUACGACUCGCUGGUGCAGGAGGUCUGGGACCAGGCGCGCAAGCUGCGCUGCACCUGGUACGACUAUUACGAGAAGAAAGUAACGUUCAAGCCGUUCCAGGUGGACAUGCUGAACGCGGUGACGGCUAACUUCCUCGGGGACAACCUGCAGUGCUGGAUGCAGAUCCAGGUCGGUAAGGGCCCGUGGGCCUCUGAGGUGUCCGGCAUCGUCAAGAUCGGACAGACCAUGACCAUGGUGCUGGCAAUCAAGGACGACGAAAACAAGUUCGACAUGCUCGUCCGCAACUGCGUCGCCCACGACGGUCGCCGUGCACCGCUCCAGCUGGUGGACGGCAAUGGCUGCGUCACCCGACCCAAGGUCAUGUCCAAGUUCCAGAAGAUCAAGAACUUUGGCUCGUCGGCAUCUGUGGUAUCAUACGCCUACUUCCAGGCGUUCAAGUUCCCCGACUCGAUGAACGUCCACUUCCAGUGCGUCAUCCAGGUGUGCCGCUACCAGUGUCCGGAGGCGGCGUGCGGCGGCCAGCGGGACUACGACACCAGCCCGCGCAUUCCGGCCGGCGAAUAUCAGGGCGCCGGCAGCGAGCAGCAGCCGGUCAUAGUCGACGGCGAGCAGGCCAACGACAGCGAGAACCGCAUCGACGCCGCCUUAAACCGACAGGGCCCGCCGCCUGCGAACGGUGGGCGGCGGCGCGCGCAGCAGCAGCGGCAACAGCACGCCGAUCGGCCGAUCCCGCAGCCUGUCAACAUCGGCCUGAAACCGGGCUCAGUGACGCUGCCGAGGCCACCAUCGCCCUACCCGUUCGUGAACCGGCAGGGCGUGGCCUCUGACGACGACAGCGCCAAGUACGCCAUCUCCGGUCAGCCACGCGCGCUCGACGACAAGCAGCUGGAUGAGCUGGCAGCCGAGGCGGCGGCGGACGGCGCGUUGCGGCGGCGACGGCGCGACACCCAGGAGAUGACGGACGUGGAGACAGAGCGUACCAUUCAGGUGGUGGCGCCUGGCGACGUGGCAUUUAGCCUGAGCUCUUCCAACCAGGACUCGCUGGUGGUGUUAGAGUCGCCGGACGCCGUGCACAAGAGGAACAACAUCUGCAUGUCGGUACCCGGCUUCGUGGCCGGUCUGAUCAUGCUUCUGCUGGUACUCGUGAUCGCCAUCAUCGUCUCAGUCUUCCUAUUUUCUCGGUUGCGCGCCUUCAGCGGCAAGGCGUCGUUGUUCGCCUCGGGCGUCGAUAACCCCGAAUUCGUCAAGUGUCCAAACUGAGUGGGAGGCUAACCGGGGCGCUGCAGGGGCGGAUGCGCUCCCAAAUCACGGGGAUUACUCGGCGUCUUUCUCGGUCGGGGCCGGGACCAACCUUAUUACGCUUGACUGUCCGGGCCCGAGAGAGACCAGUCGCUUUAAUGAGGGCACUGCCGCGUCGGCCGAUUGUUGUGAAUUUGUGCAACGUCGAUUAUGCGACGCACCACUGACCGUGUUGCCAGUUGUUUUUCUUUUAUUUAUUGCACGCCCUAUGCAGUUAUUUAUUAGCCAGCCGCAUAGUGCAUCCGGCAGCGUGCCAGGAGCAGUCACCUAUUUCUCGUUGGGGGUCGUACCUUCUAUGAACGGUCCCUGGAUGCCUCGUGACGAGCCCGGAAAAGCGUAGAACAAAAUGUAGGAAACUCAGACCAGGGCGUCAUUAACUCGCAUCCCUCUGGGGGUACUGGAUUUCCACGCCCCGCUGGGGGAGGGGGGGGGGUGAACACCCCUUUCUAACUCGGCUCCUGGGACACGUAGCGACAUGCCGUAGGCGGCGUUCGGAAAGGCGUAAAAAAUGAAGAAAUAAUUUUGUCAAUUCUUAGGUCAAAGGUCAGGUCACCAGAGGUCACCCAAAGGUAAUAUUUCGCCACUUCCUAGGCCAAACCGAUAAUUUUCGCCAAUCCGGCACAAAACUGAGGAACGGAUAGAGCUGCAGCACCGCAGAAAACGCAUCCGAUAGCUCUUUUGACCACCAUAUUUCUGAUCAAUUCCCUCAGGUAUAUAGCCUGGGGAAUCGCGGAAACAGAUUGCGUAAACAUAUUUUCUGCAACAACUUUUGACUCAAACCCUGCACAAGCUUACUUUUAGCAGCAUCGUGUUCCUUUCGUCACCUUGACCUUGAAAGGUCAAUUUAAAAAUUUGACCUCCGGUCAAGGUCAUGACCUGAAGGAAGAAGGUCAUGACUCAUGUUCCAUAUCAGUCGAUCCGUACCGUCAAGCCAAUCACAUCUAAGGCGUGUUCAUCGCUGUAGCGUGCCCAUAUCAAAAUUUACUAGCGAAAAACUGUUUGAGAUACCUACUUUUCGUGACGCAAGAUGACCUCAGAAACAUAACGAGGGGUCACGAGUGCCAUUUCAUCCUGUACUUACAGUGUGCCAUACUUACUUGAAACUCGAUUUCUGAAAGUGUAAGAAUGACGUCCGUCCAAAAGAGUCGCCUGUCAAUUCUUAAUUCGUUUAGUCUAGUGCUUGCUGAAUGUAAGGCAUUUAAAUCGUUUAGUCGUUUUUGAAUGACCUCCGUACAAAAUUAUGCUUUUCAUUCAUGUAUUUUUUUGUUUUAGAUGACUUUUCGGCCACGGGCCAUUAUCAAAUCAAUGCCAAAAUAUAUUUUAGCGUUGAUGUGAUCAUGGCCCGUGGCAUGUCAAUUUUCUCCCAUUGACUUAUAGGUAAUGGGGAGGUCGCAAAAUUGACCUGGCCUUUGGUCACCAAUAUCAGAAUUCUGAGGGCUGUAUGCACAUACUGUUGCUCUCAUGAACCGCUGAAAGUUUCAAAGUGAUCGGUCACUCGGUAUAGCUAUGGCAGGCAUUGAAACUUUUUAUGAAGUGAGGUUACCUGACGUGACCUGGUGACCUAACCUUGAGUGACCUUGGUCUGAAAUGUUAACACAAUAUGCAGAAAAGAUGUUUGAAAAGAUGAACCGAAAACGGUGGCGCCCCGCGUCGCCAUUAUUUAGAUAUCGCGAAAAACCGCAUAAGGUGUUCAACCCUCCCCCUAGCAGGGUGCGGGUAAACUCGGAUCAUGGAUUAAGGCUAGAUAGAACAAUGCAUACUUGUUUUUGCCGCCACAGUAAAAUGCCAAAUGUCCACGUUAUGUCCAAAUGAGUGUCGUUAAGUUUAUCAUUAUGACUUCAGCAAAGUUAAGCCUAUAGCCCUGUGAUCAGCAGCACGACAGCGGAUAUGGGGCCAUAUUCACGUCGACUUUGUAAGUCGAUUUUCUUUCGUAAGUAGACGACACUUCAUAAGUUUUUAUCGACGGAGUUCACGUGAAUAAGAAAAUUUACUUAAGAAAUAGGUCAAACGUAAGAAAAUUCUUACGAAAAUGAUCGACGUGAAUACGGCCCCUGGACAGCUGUUGACCACGGGCUCCGUAUAAUGCUGUUGGCCAGUGCUGAUGACAGCCUGCAGCUAUUGCGACGGAACUCGACCAGUGAAUGUGAUGCGAUUAUGUCAGCCCCAAUACAAAUCACCCAAAAUGA